UACGUAGGGGGCAAGCGUUGUCCGGAUUUAUUGGGCGUAAAGAGCGUGUAGGCGGCCAUUCAGGUCAGCUGUGAAAACUCGAGGCUCAACCUCGAGACGUCGGUUGAAACCGUUUGGCUAGAGUCCGGAAGAGGAGAGUGGAAUUCCCGGUGUAGCGGUGAAAUGCGCAGAUAUCAGGAGGAACACCGGUGGCGAAGGCGGGUCUCUGGGCCGAUACUGACGCUGAGGAGCGAAAGCGUGGGGAGCGAACAGG
rnacentral:rRNA from 1 species